GGAAAAGUGAUGAUGAAGGAAAGUAGCUCCACGGAAUCCUACAGGGAGGAGAUGCCGUGACUGGAAGCAUCUCUAGGAGGAAAGGGAGUGAAGUUCCCUUCUGAACUCCCGGCUGAAACCGCCAAGCGGCAAGUAGGUCGAGGCGGAGACUUCCACCGUUAAAAGGAAGGGGAUAUCGGAUGGCAGAUCCCGUAUCCUGCAAAGAGCGGACCGAGUUCAAUUUGGGUGGUACCGCGGAAAGUAAGCUUUCCGUCCCAUGG
rnacentral:ncRNA from 1 species